GGAUUUACUGGCGCGUAAAGCGUCCGCAGGCGGUCUGUUAAGUUAGCCGUUAAAUCACAGGGNCUCAACCCUGNUGGCUGCGACUAAUACUGGCAGACUAGAGGCUGGGAGAGGUAGAUGGAAUUGCCGGUGUAGUAGUAAAAUGCGUUAAUAUCGGCAGGAACACCAAAUGCGAAGGCAUUCUACUGGAACAGUCCUGACGCUCAGGGNACGAAAGCGUGGGUAGCGAAAGGGAUUAGAUGCCCCUGNUAGUCCACGCCGUAAACGAUGAAUACUAGGCAUUGGAAGUGUCGACCCUUUCAGUGCCGUUUACCCAAGUUAACACGUUAAGUAUUCCGCCUGGGGAGUACGGCCGCAAGGCUAAAACUCAAAGGAAUUGACGGGAACCCGCACAAGCGGUGGAGCACGCGGUUUAAUUCGAUGAUACGCGAGGAACCUCACCAAGGCUUGACAUUCAGCUGCAAACCCUAAGAAACUAGGGCUCCUUCGAGGGUGCUGAACAGGUGCUGCAUGGUUGUCGUCAGCUCGUGCCGUGAGGUGUACGGUUAAGUCCGGUAACGAGCGCAACCCUCAUUCUGUGUUACACUUUCACAGAAAACUGCCGCGUACAACGCGGAGGAAGGUGAGGAUGACGUCAAAUCAGCAUGGCUCUUACGCCUUGGGCUACACGCAUGCUACAAUGGCUGGUACAAUGGGC
rnacentral:rRNA from 1 species